rnacentral:rRNA from 1 species
AUGAACGCUGGCGGCGUGCUUAACACAUGCAAGUCGAACGAGAAAUGUAGACGGAAACCUUCGGGCGGAAGCCUCCAUUUCGAGUGGCGGACGGGUGAGUAACGCGUGGGUAACCUGCCUCAUACAGGGGGAUAACAGUUGGAAACGACUGUUAAUACCGCAUAAGACCACAGCAUCGCAUGAUGCGGGGGUAAAAACUCCGGUGGUAUGAGAUGGACCCGCGUUCGAUUAGCCAGUUGGCGGGGUAACGGCCCACCAAAGCGACGAUCGAUAGCCGAUCUGAGAGGAUGACCGGCCACAUUGGGACUGAGACACGGCCCAAACUCCUACGGGAGGCAGCAGUGGGGAAUAUUGCACAAUGGGGGAAACCCUGAUGCAGCGACGCCGCGUGAGUGAAGAAGUACUUCGGUAUGUAAAGCUCUAUCAGCAGGGAAGAAAAUGACGGUACCUGAGUAAGAAGCCCCGGCUAACUACGUG